rnacentral:rRNA from 1 species
GAUGAACGCUGGCGGCGUGCCUAAUACAUGCAAGUCGAGCGAACAGACGAGGAGCUUGCUCCUCUGACGUUAGCGGCGGACGGGUGAGUAACACGUGGAUAACCUACCUAUAUUACUGGGAUAACUUCGGGAAACCGGAGCUAAUACCGGAUAAUAUAUUGAACCGCAGGGUUCAAUAGUGAAAGACGGUUUUGCUGUCACUUAUAGAUGGUUCCGCGCCGCAUUAGCUAGUUGGUAAGGUAACGGCUUACCAAGGCAACGAUGCGUAGCCGACCUGAGAGGGUGAUCGGCCACACUGGAACUGAGACACGGUCCAGACUCCUACGGGAGGCAGCAGUAGGGAAUCUUCCGCAAUGGGCGAAAGCCUGACGGAGCAACGCCGCGUGAGUGAUGAAGGUCUUCGGAUCGUAAAACUCUGUUAUUAGGGAAGAACAAAUGUGUAAGUAACUAUGCACGUCUUGACGGUACCUAAUCAGAAAGCAACGGCUAACUACGUG